UAAAAAUGAAAAAGAAUAGUAAUUAUAUUUAAAAAUAUUUAUUCUAUCUUUAGUAAGAUUUCAAAUUUUAGUUUUAUCAGGGAUGAAGAAUCGGAUGGCAAAUGAUCCGAUUCCGACUCCACUUUUUUAAAAAAAUCCUACUCCGACUCCCGGGAGGUUUAAAGUUCCGAUUUCGAUUCUGUCCGGGGGCCUCCAAUUCCCCGACUUCUGACUCCGACUCUGAGUCGGGUAGUCGGAGGUUUUUGGGUGGAGUCGGAAUCGGAGUUUUAAACUUCCCGGGAGUCCGAGUUGGAGAAGGAUCUUACAAAUUUUAGAUUGUCGAAGUCGGAUGUUUUUAAAAGAUGGAGUCGGAGUCAGAUUUGGAAUCGGAGGUUUUUGGAUAACACCGAUUCCAACUCCGGGCAGUUUAAAAAUCUGACUUUACCAAAAACAUCCGACUUUCCGACUCCUCUGUAAUUUUGUUUUCUACCAUACUAACUUUGAUUAAAUAAAAGGCAUUUUUAAUUAAUUUAUACACUUAAUAUUCACUUAUAUAGUUAAAAUUUAUUUAAAUUUAUGCAUUGAUAAUAUAUGCAUAUAAAUUAUGUAAAUAAUAG
rnacentral:lncRNA from 1 species